rnacentral:rRNA from 1 species
GAUGAACGCUGGCGGCGUGCCUAAUACAUGCAAGUCGAGCGAACGGACGAGACUCUUGCUUCUCUGAUGUUAGCGGCGGACGGGUGAGUAACACGUGGAUAACCUACCUAUAAGACUGGGAUAACUUCGGGAAACCGGAGCUAAUACCGGAUGAUAUUUUGAACCGCAUGGUUCAAAAGUGCAAGACGUUCUUGCUGUCACUUAUAGAUGGAUCCACGCUGCAUUAGCUAGUUGGUGGGGUAACGGCUUACCAAGGCAACGAUGCAUAGCCGACCUGAGAGGAUGAUCAGGCACACGGGAACUGAGACACGGUCCAGACGCCUAAGGGAGGCAGCAGGGGGGAAUAUUGGAAAAUGGGCGAAAGCAUGAAAAAGCAAUGACGGGUGGGUGAAGAAGGUAUUCGGAUUGUAAAGCACUUUAAGUUGGGAGGAAGGGAAGUAAGUUAAUAACUUGCUGUUUUGACGUUACCAACAGAAUAAGAAACGGCUAACUUCGUG